UGAACGCUGGCGGCGUGCUUAACACAUGCAAGUCGAACGAGAACGGUCCUUCGGGAUGUCAGCUAAGUGGCGGACGGGUGAGUAAUGUAUAGUUAAUCUGCCCUUUAGAGGGGGAUAACAGUUGGAAACGACUGCUAAUACCCCAUACUCCUUUCUAUGUAAAGUAGAUUGGGAAAUGUUUUUUCGCUAAAGGAUGAGACUAUAUGGUAUCAGGUAGUUGGUGGGGUAAGAGCCUACCAAGCCAAUGACGCCUAGCUGGUCUGAGAGGAUGAUCAGCCACACUGGAACUGAGACACGGUCCAGACUCCUACGGGAGGCAGCAGUGGGGAAUAUUGCACAAUGGAGGAAACUCUGAUGCAGCAACGCCGCGUGGAGGAUGACACAUUUCGGUGCGUAAACUCCUUUUAUAUGGGAAGAUAAUGACGGUACCAUAUGAAUAAGCACCGGCUAACUCC
rnacentral:rRNA from 1 species